UACGUAGGGUGCAAGCGUUGAUCGGAAUUACUGGGCGUAAAGCGUGCGCAGGCGGUUCGGAAAGAAAGAUGUGAAAUCCCAGGGCUUAACCUUGGAACUGCAUUUUUAACUGCCGAGCUAGAGUAUGUCAGAGGGGGGUAGAAUUCCACGUGUAGCAGUGAAAUGCGUAGAGAUGUGGAGGAAUACCGAUGGCGAAGGCAGCCCCCUGGGAUAAUACUGACGCUCAUGCACGAAAGCGUGGGGAGCAAACAGG
rnacentral:rRNA from 1 species